rnacentral:misc_RNA from 1 species
UUUCCGUAGGUGAACCUGCGGAGGGAUCAUUACAGAGUUCUCGCCCUCGCGGGUAGAUCUCCCACCCACUGUUAUCGUUACUGUGUUGCUUUGGCGGGCCGCCGGGCCCCGCUCGGCCGCCGGCUCCGGCUGGCGCGCGCCCGCCAGAGGCCCAGCAAACUCUGAAUGCUAGUGUCGUCUGAGUACUAUAUAAUAGUUAAAACUUUCAACAACGGAUCUCUUGGUUCUG